rnacentral:lncRNA from 1 species
AGACACUUUAUUCUUCAUUUGUUGGUAUUUCCCCCCCACCACCAACAGGGAUUUUUUUAGAGACAGGAGGAGCAAAAAAAAGAGCUUCUAUCAAGAUUUAUGUUUGUAUCUCCGAAGCUUCCUCGCAGCUGAAGCGGCCCUCCUGCCAGGCGCCACCGAGGGCUUUCCUGUGUGGUGAGCCCUUUCAAAAGAGACCUGGUGAACACAAGAGAAUGGAAGGUCAGCCCCUCAGACAGGAUACUGGCCACAGAGGAAGGGAGCAAUGUAAAACAGUCUAUCCAACCCACCCAGAAUGUUCCACGAAACUUUUUCUGGACAACAGUGGAGGGAGCUCAUAAGACACCCAUUCCGCAGUGCAAGCUUCGUACUAAGGAUUGAAAGAAUGCCUUCAACAUUCAAAAGAGAAAAGCUGUAAACAAAUGCUCAAUGAAUUAGGUGUAUUCUUAAAUGUCCAAUGAUAAAACCACAUGAGAUGUUCAAUGUUUUUACUUAAACUAUUGUGUUAACUGUAUGUUGUAAUUCCUCAGUCAUCCCAAUAAAAUUAUUUGAAAUUGAAUUUUCCCCAACAGUAUGUCUGGACGAUGAUUAUCUAGUGCAGAG